AGGCCAGACUCCUACGGGAGGCAGCAGUGGGGAAUAUUGCACAAUGGGGGAAACCCUGAUGCAGCAACGCCGCGUGAGUGAAGAAGUAUUUCGGUAUGUAAAGCUCUAUCAGCAGGGAAGAAGAUGACGGUACCUGAUUAAGAAGCCCCGGCUAACUACGUGCCAGCAGCCGCGGUAAUACGUAGGGGGCAAGCGUUAUCCGGAUUUACUGGGUGUAAAGGGAGCGUAGACGGUCCUGCAAGCCAGAUGUGAAAGCCCGGGGCUCAACCCCGGGACUGCAUUUGGAACUGUAAGGCUAGAGUGUCGGAGAGGCAGGCGGAAUUCCUAGUGUAGCGGUGAAAUGCGUAGAUAUCAGGAGGAACACCGGCGGCGAAGGCGGCCUGCUGGACCGUGACUGACGUUGAGGCUCGAGAGCGUGGGGAGCAAACAGGAUUAGAUACCCGCGUAG
rnacentral:rRNA from 1 species